rnacentral:lncRNA from 1 species
AUGAGAAUAAUUUUAAAGGAACCCAGCGAUAAAUGCAAAACAGUAGCUGUUGGAGGUGAUGGAAAUGUACAGGAACAGUGGGAGAAGCCGGUAACUUAUAGGAAGCCAAGAUGACAAGAAUUUUAAAAAAUAAUCAGAGCAGAAUUCUCAGGAGAAGCAGGAGCCUGAUGUCAUUUACGCUGAUGAUGUCCAUGUAAA